GAGAAAACGAGUUUAAACCCUAACCUCAAACUCAACCAGCCCCCAGAAGCCUCCAUGUUGUCUGUAACCUGUUUGCUAGACCCAUGGGUCUGCAAGCCCACGUUGCUCGGCCUCUAGACUCUACUGUUCAACCUCCAGAAGAAAACCAGCGUCCGCCUCAACCAACACGAGCACUCCACGUAAUAAAAUCAAAAUCUAUUUGUGUGGCCGUUAGGAAUCCGUAAGCCAAUCCAUAGAGUUGAUCUGAUCUCCAUGAUCGAUGCUUCACUUCUCACGCACUCCAAAAACCUUGCCUUCUAUAAAAGCCCAUUACAGACCCAUCUGCCUUUCUCAAGGACAAUCGCUCCGGAACAGUGUUCAACGUCUUCUUCUCUUCUACCUCAGGUACCCACCCGCCCGUUCGAUCAAUGGCUGCUUCACUCUCAACCGUCGGAGCUGUUAACAGAGUACCGUUGAACUUGAAUGGCGCAGGUGCAGGAUCUUCAGUGCCUAGCUCAGCAUUCUUUGGCAGCAGCUUGAAGAAGAUAAAUUCCAAGAUCAUUAACCAGAAGCUCUUGUCAGGGAAUUUCAAGGUUUCUGCAGAAUAUGACGAGCAGAAGCAGACCUCCAAAGACAGAUGGGGAGCUCUUGCAUCUGACACAUCUGAUGACCAACAGGACAUUACUAGAGGAAAGGGAAUGGUAGAUUCUGUCUUCCAAGCUCCCAUGGGAACAGGAACUCACAACCCAAUCAUGAGUUCGUCUGACUAUAUCAGUCAAGGUCUUCGCCAGUACAUGGACAAUAAUAUGGAUGGUUUCUACAUUGCACCUGCAUUCAUGGACAAGAUCGUUGUUCACAUCACCAAGAACUUCUUGAACCUUCCAAAUAUUAAGGUUCCUCUCAUCUUGGGUAUCUGGGGAGGCAAAGGUCAAGGAAAAUCAUUCCAAUGUGAGCUUGUAUUUGCCAAGAUGGGAAUCAGCCCCAUUAUGAUGAGUGCUGGUGAGUUAGAAAGUGGGAAUGCUGGAGAGCCUGCGAAAUUGAUCAGGCAAAGGUAUCGCGAGGCAGCAGACAUUAUUAAAAAGAAGGGAAAGAUGUGUUGCCUCUUUAUCAACGAUCUAGAUGCUGGGGCAGGUAGGCUAGGUGGUACUACGCAAUACACAGUCAACAAUCAGAUGGUUAAUGCUACCCUGAUGAACAUUGCCGAUAACCCAACCAAUGUCCAGCUUCCUGGUAUGUACAACAAAGAGGAGAAUCCCCGUGUUCCUAUCAUAGUUACAGGCAAUGACUUCUCUACAUUGUAUGCCCCUCUCAUCCGAGAU
rnacentral:misc_RNA from 1 species